AUGCAAGUCGAACGGCAGCACGGAGAGCUUGCUCUCUGGUGGCGAGUGGCGAACGGGUGAGUAAUAUAUCGGAACGUAUCCAAUAAUGGGGGAUAACGAGUCGAAAGAUUCGCUAAUACCGCAUACGCCCUACGGGGGAAAGCAGGGGAUCGUAAGACCUUGCGUUAAUGGAGCGGCCGAUAUCUGAUUAGCUUGUUGGUGAGGUAAAGGCUCACCAAGGCGACGAUCAGUAGCUGGUUUGAGAGAACGACCAGCCACACUGGAACUGAGACACGGUCCAGACUCCUACGGGAGGCAGCAGUGGGGAAUUUUGGACAAUGGGGGCAACCCUGAUCCAGCCAUUCCGCGUGAGUGAAGAAGGCCUUCGGGUUGUAAAGCUCUUUCGCAAGGGAAGAAAACUUAUGAUCGAAUAAAUCAUGAGGUUGACGGUACCUUGAUAAGAAGCACCGGCUAACUACGUGCCAGCAGCCGCGGUAAUACGUAGGGUGCGAGCGUUAAUCGGAAUUACUGGGCGUAAAGCGUGCGCAGGCGGUUUUGUAAGUCGGAUGUGAAAUCCCCGGGCUCAACCUGGGAACUGCGUUCGAAACUGCAAGGCUAGAGUGUGUCAGAGGGGGGUAGAAUUCCACGUGUAGCAGUGAAAUGCGUAGAGAUGUGGAGGAAUACCAAUGGCGUAGGCAGCCCCCUGGGAUAACACUGACGCUCAUGCACGAAAGCGUGGGGAGCAAACAGGAUUAGAUACCCUGGUAGUCCACGCCCUAAACGAUGUCAACUAG
rnacentral:rRNA from 1 species